UACGGAGGGGACUAGCGUUGUUCGGAAUUACUGGGCGUAAAGCGCACGUAGGCGGAUUUGUAAGUCAGGGGUGAAAUCCCAGGGCUCAACCUCGGAACUGCCUUUGAUACUGCAAAUCUCGAGUCCGGAAGAGGUGAGUGGAAUUCCUAGUGUAGAGGUGAAAUUCGUAGAUAUUAGGAAGAACACCAGUGGCGAAGGCGGCUCACUGGUCCGGUACUGACGCUGAGGUGCGAAAGCGUGGGGAGCAAACAGG
rnacentral:rRNA from 1 species